UUCCAUGUAUUAAUUCCUAUUAGCUCAACCAAUAAUUUGCAUCACUUUUUACCAAAAUUGGAGCAACUUUAACUUUUGACUGCUGUACAAACUGAAACUGACUUUUUCACCAUUCUUGCAGUUUUUGCCCCAUAACAUUCAGACAUGGAUAGUCCGAACUAUAUCCUUUUAGAAUCUUUAUGAUUAGCCAAUAUGGUAUAGUUUUUAAUA